rnacentral:miRNA from 1 species
GCUGACACAUCCCUGCCAAUCUCCGGCAGACCCUCCCUCCCAGACCCUCCUACUUCCUGGACAGCAUCCAUGUUGAAGGCAGCUUCAACAUGGAUGCUGUCCAGUAGGUGGGAGGGUCUCGGAGGGAGGGUCUGCCGGAGAUUGGCAGGGAUUUGUCAG